AGCGAGCUCACGCUCACUAUCGGAUCGUUUUAGAAACAUCAGUGGCCAACAGAUCGCCAGAUCGUUGAGCUGCAUUGGCGGGAUUUCGCCGUCUUCGUUUCUCUUUCUUCGCGGACGAACACGCGCUGGGCCUGCAACGGCAGGAUCCAGGGUCCUUAACGGGAUGUGCGUUAGGGGCUUGUAGCUCAGUUGGUUAGAGCGCGCGCUUGAUAAGCGUGAGGUCGGAAGUUCAAGUCUUCCCAGGCCCACCACUUUCAUCGAGUGAGCAUUCGUCUUCUGGUUACGGGGCCAUAGCUCAGCUGGGAGAGCGCGUGCUUUGCAAGCAUGAGGUCGUCGGUUCGAUCCCGUCUGGCUCCACCAGAUGGUUUGAUCACCGAGAUCUUGACCGUCGUCCGCGAAACAUCACUUCGCAUCCUGCUAGUCUGGAUAGACAGCAGUUUGCGUGUUUUCUGACAUCGUAAAGAGGAGAUCGAUCCGAGUUGGGUCGUGCAGCAUAUCGUUGCGCGAGCCUUCAUUAUCUCCGGAUCAUUUCGGCGCUCGCUUCCAGCCGUGAGGUUGGAUGCGGGUUGUAAAUGAUCCUUUUAGCGAAGCUUGACCGCCUCGCUAUCGGAACGAUCUUACGAAGCAAGCUGGUCUUUCUAGUCAAUGUCCGGCUGCGGAUAGCGUUCAUCGAGGGCGCGUGCCGCAAGGCAAUUCUGCAGACAACAUUCUGCCGAGUGUGUGGACAUUGAUAAUGAGAGCAAUCAAGUGCCUUAAGGGUGUUCGGUGGAUGCCUUGGCGCUGAGAGGCGAUGAAGGACGUGCUACGCUGCGAUAAGCCGUGGGGAGCUGA
rnacentral:misc_RNA from 1 species